CAUGUACUCCCUCCGUUUGGAAUUACUUGUCUCGGAAAUGGAUGUAUCUAGAACUAAAAUACGUCUAGAUACAUCCAUUUUUGCGACAAGUAAUUCCGAACGGAGGGAGUAAUAC
rnacentral:pre_miRNA from 1 species